AUUGAACGCUGGCGGAAUGCUUUACACAUGCAAGUCGAACGGUAGAGGGGGCAACCCCUUGAGAGUGGCGAACGGGUGAGUAAUAUAUCGGAACGUGCCCAGUCGUGGGGAUAACGUAGCGAAAGUUACGCUAAUACCGCAUACGAUCUAAGGAUGAAAGCGGGGGAUCGCAAGACCUCGCGCGAUUGGAGCGGCCGAUAUCAGAUUAGGUAGUUGGUGAGGUAAAGGCUCACCAAGCCAACGAUCUGUAGCUGGUCUGAGAGGACGACCAGCCACACUGGAACUGAGACAGGUCCAGACUCCUACGGGAGGCAGCAGGNGGGUAAUUUGGAACAAGUGGACGCAAGUC
rnacentral:rRNA from 1 species